rnacentral:rRNA from 1 species
UACAGAGGUCCCAAGCGUUGUUCGGAUUCACUGGGCGUAAAGGGUGCGUAGGUGGUGGGGUAAGUCCGAUGUGAAAGCUCCGAGCUCAACUCGGAAAUGGCAUUAGAAACUACCUUGCUAGAGGAUUGGAGGGGGGACUGGAAUUCUCGGUGUAGCAGUGAAAUGCGUAGAUAUCGAGAGGAACACCAGUGGCGAAGGCGAGUCCCUGGACAACUCCUGACACUGAGGCACGAAAGCUAGGGGAGCAAACGGG